CCCUUAGAUGUCCUGGGCAGCACGCGCGCUACACUGAGUGUCUGAGAUACGAGUCUGCCUGGUCCGGCAAGGUCUAGGUAAUCGCUAAAAGACACAUCAUGCUUGGGAUAGAUUAUUGCAAAUAUUAAUCUUGAACGAGGAAUUCCUAGUAAGCGCAAGUCAACAGCUUGCGUUGAUUACGUCCCUGCCCUUUGUACACACCGCCCGUCGCUACUACUGAUUGGAUGUUUAAGCGAGGUUCUCGAACUGCUAGCGACUUAGCUUCGGUGAGGUCGCAGUGUGGGAAGUGAACCUAGCUUUGGUGUCUAGAGGAAGUAAAAGUCGUAACA
rnacentral:rRNA from 1 species